rnacentral:rRNA from 1 species
GAAAGGAGAGUGCAAGAGGACGUGAAACCGUUGUAGUGGAAGCAGAUGGAGCCGACGUAUCCAGUGCGUAUUCAGCUGUUUUCGGACGCGAUUCAUUGGCUUUGGGUUUCUGCGAAGUGUCCGGCUGAUGAGUGUUGUGUUGGGGAACAGUGCACUUGCGUACAGAGUGUGCCGAAUCGGUUGGAUUUUGCUGUGCGAAGUUCGUCUAGAGGAUCGGUCUUCGGGCCGGAAACCGGGGCAGGACGGAGGACAGACGAGUCUAGCUGCGUUGUGGGUGAGGCCGAAUUGGAGCCGUCGAACAAGAGUAUUGCUGCUUGUGUGCGGCGCAUGCGUUUCAUGCUUGCCGUUUUCGACUUGUUCGGGGGCUGCUCCGGCUGACAUUCGGUGUUUAGUCGGUGACCCAUUUGACCCGUCUUGAAACACGGACCAAGGAGUUUAAGGUGUGCGCGAGUCAUUGAGUGGAAAACUGAAAGGCGAAAUGAAAGUGGGACACUUUUUGGUGUCUGUGAUGCGACCUUUGUGUGAUUUGUUGCGCAGAGGGCAGCAUCGACCCAUGACCAGGACUUGUUCUGUUAUGGAGUCUGAGCGUACGCUUUGAGACCCGAAAGAUGGUGAACUAUGCCUGAACAGGAUGAAGUCGGAGGAAACUCUGAUGGAGGUCCGAAGCGGUUCUGACGUGCAAAUCGAUCGUCUGAUUUGGGUAUAGGGGCGCAAGACUAAUCGAACCAUC